GUACUCUCACACUCUCUGAUCCUGUGGAUUUGGGGAGCGGUGGACUUGGGUGCUUGCUGCUUUUGUUGUGGCUCACCUCAAAUGUGUCAGUGCAUCUCUUGAUUGGACAUAGUACGGCGUGAUAAGUGUCUUCGCCGGCGCCUCAAUAUAUACAUAUAAGAGGGUGGCCAACUGGGAGCUCUGUGCUUUCAAACCGUCUUCGGACAAUGUCUGACA
rnacentral:misc_RNA from 1 species